rnacentral:rRNA from 1 species
UACAUGGGGUGCAAACGUUGCUCGGAAUUAUUGGGCGUAAAGCGCACGUAGGCGGUUCGUUAAGUCGGAUGUGAAAGCCCUCGGCUCAACUGAGGAAGUGCACCCGAAACUGGCGAGCUUGAGUACGAAAGAGGAUCGCGGAAUUCCCGGUGUAGAGGCGAAAUUCGUAGAUAUCGGGAGGAACACCAAUUGCGAAGGCAGCUCGCUGGGACGUUACUGACGCUGAACGCGAAGCGAUGGGAGGCAAACAGG